CGUCCGUGUCGUUAUUGUGGUGGUAGCGGCGUCUGGCUGCUGCGGACCCCGCCGAGUCCUAGCGCCUGGCCUGCGCGCCGCUGCCCGCGCCACAGGAUUAAUUUAUUUUUGGAAAUCAAGUGCAAUAUUGGAAGCCAUUUCUACUAAUUUUAUUUCACUUUUAAAUUUAUGAUUUGAUUUGAAUACUAUCAUGGGAGGAGCUGUGAGUGCUGGGGAAGAUAAUGAUGACUUAAUUGAUAAUUUAAAAGAAGCUCAGUAUAUUCGUACUGAAAGAGUGGAGCAAGCCUUCAGAGCGAUUGAUCGUGGAGAUUACUAUUUGGAAGGCUACAGAGACAAUGCUUACAAAGACUUAGCCUGGAAGCAUGGAAACAUCCACUUGUCAGCACCUUGCAUUUAUUCUGAAGUUAUGGAAGCAUUGAAACUUCAACCAGGAUUGUCUUUUCUUAACCUGGGAAGUGGAACCGGAUAUUUAAGUACAAUGGUGGGCUUAAUUUUAGGUAAUUUUAUUUUUGUAAAAUUCUAUUUUAAAAAAUAAGCCAUUUUGUAUUAUGGUUUAUGAUUUAUAGGAGUUGUAACUUUGUGUACAGUAUGUUUGAAUGUGUAUACUCAGUGUAGGUAUCUUCCUUACUUAGAUGUGAAAACACAAAGUAGUAGUAAUCUUUUUUCAUUCCCAGUCCUUACCUCAACUUACAGUAGCUCUGGAAACUAACUGUUCUCUGUUAGUCAUUGUCUGUACUUAAAGUCAAGCACUGGUGGGCAGGAAACUCAGGAGUAAUAUUUAAGCUAUUUCAGGUAGAGUGUUCUGUCUUCUGGCAUAUAAAGUUUGAUGGUUAUCUAAGAGCAUUGUGCCAGGUUU
rnacentral:sRNA from 1 species